GACGAACGCUGGCGGCGUGCUUAACACAUGCAAGUCGAACGGAAAGGCCCUGCUUUUGUGGGGUGCUCGAGUGGCGAACGGGUGAGUAACACGUGAGUAACCUGCCCUUGACUUUGGGAUAACUUCAGGAAGCUGGGGCUAAUACCGGAUAGGAGCUCCUGCUGCAUGGUGGGGGUUGGAAAGUUUCGGCGGUUGGGGAUGGACUCGCGGCUUAUCAGCUUGUUGGUGGGGUAGUGGCUUACCAAGGCUUUGACGGGUAGCCGGCCUGAGAGGGUGACCGGCCACAUUGGGACUGAGAUACGGCCCAGACUCCUACGGGAGGCAGCAGUGGGGAAUAUUGCACAAUGGGCGGAAGCCUGAUGUAGCAACGCCGCGUGCGGGAUGACGGCCUUCGGGUUGUAAACCGCUUUCGCCUGUGACGAAGCGUGAGUGACGGUAAUGGGUAAAGAAGCACCGGCUAACUACGUG
rnacentral:rRNA from 1 species